GAUGAACGCUAGCUACAGGCUUAACACAUGCAAGUCGAGGGGCAGCAUGAACUUAGCUUGCUAAGUUCGAUGGCGACCGGCGCACGGGUGAGUAACACGUAUCCAACCUGCCUUCAACUCAGGGAUAGCCUUUCGAAAGAAAGAUUAAUACUUGAUGGCAUAACCUGGUCUCCUGACUUGGUUAUUAAAGAAUUUCGGUCAUCGAUGGGGAUGCGUUCCAUUAGCUUGUUGGCGGGGUAACGGCCCACCAAGGCAUCGAUGGAUAGGGGUUCUGAGAGGAAGGUCCCCCACAUUGGAACUGAGACACGGUCCAA
rnacentral:rRNA from 1 species